rnacentral:rRNA from 1 species
UGGCGGCGUGCCUAAUACAUGCAAGUCGAACGCACUCUCGUUUAGAUUGAAGGAGCUUGCUCCUGAUUGAUAACAUUUGAGUGAGUGGCAGACGGGUGAGUAACACGUGGGUAACCUGCCCUAAAGUGGGGGAUAACAUUUGGAAACAGAUGCUAAUACCGCAUAAAACCUAACACCGCAUGGUGUAGGGUUGAAAGAUGGUUUCGGCUAUCACUUUAGGAUGGACCCGCGGUGCAUUAGUUAGUUGGUGAGGUAAAGGCUCACCAAGACCGUGAUGCAUAGCCGACCUGAGAGGGUAAUCGGCCACACUGGGACUGAGACACGGCCCAGACUCCUACGGGAGGCAGCAGUAGGGAAUCUUCCACAAUGGACGAAAGUCUGAUGGAGCAACGCCGCGUGAGUGAAGAAGGUUUUCGGAUCGUAAAACUCUGUUGUUGGAGAAGAAUGUAUCUGAUAGUAACUGAUCAGGUAGUGACGGUAUCCAACCAGAAAGCCACGGCUAACUACGUG